rnacentral:rRNA from 1 species
UUCGGGGGCAGCGGCGGACGGGUGAGUAACGCGUGGGAACGUGCCCAGAGGUGGGGAACAACCGCUGGAAACGGCGGCUAAUACCCCAUACGCCCUUCGGGGGAAAGAUUUAUCGCCUUUGGAUCGGCCCGCGUCUGAUUAGGUAGUUGGUGGGGUAACGGCCUACCAAGCCGACGAUCAGUACCUGGUUUGAGAGGAUGAUCAGGCACACUGGGAUUGAGACACGGCCCAGACUCCUACGGGAGGCAGCAGUGGGGAAUCAUAGACAAUGGGGGAAACCCUGAUCUUGCCAUGCCGCGUGAGCGAAGAAGGCCUUAGGGUUGUAAAGCUCUUUCACCGGGGUAAGAUAAUGACGGUACCCGGAGAAGAAGCCCCGGCUAACUCCGUGCCAGCAGCCGCGGUAAUACGGAGGGGGCUAGCGUUGUUCGGAAUUACUGGGCGUAAAGCGCACGUAGGCGGAUUGUUAAGUCGGGGGUGAAAUCCCGGGGCUCAACCCCGGAACUGCCUUCGAUACUGGCAAUCUGGAGGUCGAGAGAGGUGAGUGGAAUGGCGAGUGUAGAGGUGAAAUUCGUAGAUAUUCGCCGGAACACCAGUGGCGAAGGCGGCUCACUGGCUCGAUACUGACGCUGAGGUGCGAAAGCGUGGGGAGCAACCAGGAUUAGAUACCCUGGUAGUCCACGCCGU